rnacentral:rRNA from 1 species
AGAGUUUGAUCCUGGCUCAGGACGAACGCUGGCGGCGUGCUUAACACAUGCAAGUCGAACGAGAAUCUAAUGACGGAGUUUUCGGACAACUGAUUUUAGAGGACAGUGGCGGACUGGUGAGUAACGCGUAUCCAACCUGCCCACCACUUGGGGAUAACCUUGCGAAAGUAAGACUAAUACCCAAUGAUAUCUCUAGAAGACAUCUGAAAGAGAUUAAAGAUUUAUCGGUGAUGGAUGGGGAUGCGUCUGAUUAGCUUGUUGGCGGGGUAACGGCCCACCAAGGCAACGAUCAGUAGGGGUUCUGAGAGGAAGGUCCCCCACAUUGGAACUGAGACACGGUCCAAACUCCUACGGGAGGCAGCA